GACGAACGCUGGCGGCGUGCUUAACACAUGCAAGUCGAACGGAAAGGCCCUGCUUUUGUGGGGUGCUCGAGUGGCGAACGGGUGAGUAACACGUGGAUAACCUACCUAUAAGACUGGGAUAACUUCGGGAAACCGGAGCUAAUACCGGAUAACAUGUUGAACCGCAUGGUUCAACAGUGAAAGACGGUCUUGCUGUCACUUAUAGAUGGAUCCGCGCCGAAUUAGCUAGUUGGUAAGGUAACGGCUUACCAAGGCAACGAUGCGUAGCCGACCUGAGAGGGUGCUCGGCCACACUGGAACUGAGACACGGUCCAGACUCCUACGGGAGGCAGCAGUAGGGAAUCUUCCGCAAUGGGCGAAAGCCUGACGGAGCAACGCCGCGUGAGUGAAGAAGGUCUUCGGAUCGUAAAACUCUGUUAUUAGGGAAGAACAAAUGUGUAAGUAACGAUGCACGUCUUGACGGUACCUAAGCAGAAAGCCACGGCUAACUACGU
rnacentral:rRNA from 1 species